rnacentral:rRNA from 1 species
GACGAACGCUGGCGGCGUGCUUAACACAUGCAAGUCGAACGGAAAGGCCCUGCUUUUGUGGGGUGCUCGAGUGGCGAACGGGUGAGUAACACGUGAGUAACCUGCCCUUGACUUUGGGAUAACUUCAGGAAACUGGGGCUAAUACCGGAUAGGAGCUCCUGCUGCAUGGUGGGGGUUGGAAAGUUUCGGCGGUUGGGGAUGGACUCGCGGCUUUUCAGCUUGUUGGUGGGGUAGUGGCUUACCAAGGCUUUGACGGGUAGCCGGCCUGAGAGGGUGACCGGCCACAUUGGGACUGAGAUACGGCCCAGACUCCUACGGGAGGCAGCAGUGGGGAAUAUUGCACAAUGGGCGGAAGCCUGAUGCAGCAACGCCGCGUGCGGGAUGACGGCCUUCGGGUUGUAAACCGCUUUCGCCUGUGGCGAAGCGUGAGUGACGGUAAUGGGUAAAGAAGCACCGGCUAACUACGUG